ACGGGAGGCAGCAGUGAGGAAUAUUGGUCAAUGGGCGGAAGCCUGAACCAGCCGAGUCGCGUGAAGGAUGAAGGUAUUAUGUAUUGUAAACUUCUUUAGCUGUGGAGCAAUAAUCUUCAUGUAUGGAGAGAUGAGAGUACACAGAGAAUAAGGAUCGGCUAACUCCGUGCCAGCAGCCGCGGUAAUACGGAGGAUCCGAGCGUUAUCCGGAUUUAUUGGGUUUAAAGGGUGCGCAGGCGGCUUUCUAAGUCGGUGGGCAAAGCGUGGUGCUCAACGCCAUCCCGCGAUUGAUACUGGAGAGCUUGAUUGCGGUCGAGGUUUGCGGAAUUCGACGUGUAGCGGUGAAAUGCAUAGAUAUGACGAAGAACACCGAUUGCGUAGGCAGCAGACCAGGCCGUAAAUGGCGCUCAUGCACGAAAGUGCGGGGAUCGAACAGGAUUAGAUACCCUGGUA
rnacentral:rRNA from 1 species